UUAACUAUUAUCAUAUAUGGUACUCAGACGACACUAACUCUUCAGAAUUUGGGGUCCUUUGGCAGGCGCUUACCAGCAGAGCCGGUAGACCAGCAGUUCGGCCUGCCAAAGCAACAGAGGUAAGUAGACAAAGGGUGGGAGAUCUACCCUAUAGGGCAUGAACUCUGUAAUGAUCCCUCCGCAGGUUCACCUACGGAGA
rnacentral:misc_RNA from 1 species